AAAACUAUUAAUAACUAAAAUAAAAUAUUUUUAAAUUCUAAAUUUUACAUUUUAAAUCUUCAUAUUACUUAAAAAAUGUUACAAAAUAAUAACAAAUAUUGUUAAAAAAUAUAUUUUAACUAAAUCAUAAAAUAAUAUUAUAUAAAAUAGAGCACAAAAACAUCAUAGUUUUAGAUAUACAUGUUUUUAAGUCAUGUACAAAUCGGUUCUUAUCGGAUCGGUUCUUUUUGGGUCCGGGUCUAUUCAGGUCAGUUUCUUUCGGAUAAAAAAAUUUAGAUCCAAAAGAUACUUGUAAAUUUUCGGUCCGAUUCUGGAUCGAAUAUUUUUGGAUCGGUUAUGGUUCAGGUUUUUGGAUCCAUAUUAAAAUGUCCAGGUCUAAUUGCUAUUAUAGAAUAAUAUAUUGAAGCAAACUCUAUCUCUAUUAUAAAAUUUUUUUAUUUUAGAAGAAAAUAUAUCAAAAUACAUUGAAAAUGGUCCAAGUACACGGUAUUUUCUUGCCAACAAACUGAGUACUAGUAGGCAUUUUUAAAAAUAUUCGUCGAACCGUCAAUAACAUCAUCAUAAUUGAGUAGACAUUUUUGAAAAACUGGUCAAACCGUCAAUUACAUCAUCAUAUAAUUUACAUUUAUAUUAUAAAUAAUCAUUAACUAUUUGUAACAUAUGUAUAUGUGAUAUUAAUGAAAAACGAUUCCGCGACGUAAUUCUUACUAUAACUUUUUCUACAUAUAUUUAAACUGUGUUUAUGAUUGGUUAGUCUUUUAUUGCUUGUUAGAGGUUUAGUGGUUAAGUUAGUGUUGCUUUUUAAUCAGUGGUAGUUAUGAGAUAAUCAACAAUGUAAAUUAAAUGUAGAUAGAUAGUUAAACAACCAAUAUCUUUCAUAUAAAGACUUGAUAGACUAUCUCUUACGUAAAAAUCCAUCUUUGAUGCCAAUUUAAGUUGAGUAAUAAGAGUGUUUCUUAAUUAAGCAACCUUCCCAAAUAUCUUUUCAUAUUAACACUCUUUCCCUCUCUCUCUCUUUUUUUAAUGGGUUCUUCAUCUUACAUAAGUAUUAAAAAUGUUUUUCAGGAUAUUUAAUUUGUUGUUGUUAUCUUAGUCUCCCUUUCUUAGGGUUAAUUGUUGAAAAUAACUUGUUCUUGCUGGCUUUGUCUUCUACAAAUGCAUUCUUCCAUGUAAUUUUCCCUGAAGUAUAUAAUUCUAGUGUAAAAAAAACAAUGAGCGAAGGUGACUAGAAUCAUCGCCUGAUAAGUAGUGGACAAUUAAAGAAAAUUUUUGUAUUGGCCGACGCCAAAUAAUCACCUCGAUUGGACAACAUAUACUUCUUGAUGAUUCAUGAUUUUAAUAAAUUCACCAGACAUAUUUAUUCUUUCUCUUUUGUCUUUUAAUUGUUUUUAUUUAGUUUCUCUCAUUUUUUCUGUGAGGGGUCUCUUCUGCGUUUUGAAUUUCAAAUAUUUGAUUUUCAAUCACAAAAUUUCUCUUUAUGAUAUUUAUUGCAAAUGUCAGAUUAUCUCUUUACACUUUGAUGAAACAGUGCUUUCUGAGUAUUUGAAGGAUUCUAUUUGCGUUUUUGGUUCAUGUAUAUUUUGAUUCUUGAUAAAUGUUAAAGUCUUUUUUUUUUUGCUAAAAUGUUAAAGUCGUAACGUUUAUUUGUAAAAUGUGGUAUUGAAUCCAAGAAGCUUGUGGUUUUCUAUGUUGAAGUAAGGAGGCUUUUGAUACAAGUAUUGGAACUUUAAAUGUAAGAUAAGGACCUUGGAACUUUCAUAGUUGAUAUAGACCUCAGAGGUCGUUUUGCAUGUUUAAGGAUGAUCUCUUUAGAGCACAAAAAAAAAGGAUGAUCUCAUUAUCAGUAACACUGAAUUCGAUAAACACCACCUUCAACUCAGGCUCCUGUAGAACUUUGCUACGAUUCGAAAUGAUGUCGUGUGUUUCAUGAACCCAAAACAUUUUGGUUGGUUUUUUCAGGUGGAUUAGAUGCUAUCAGGCCCAUUAUCAUAUCCUGCUCAAAACAUCUUGAUUUAGCGAGAUCUUUGUCACUUCACGAAGCAUACACUAGAGGUGAUAGUUUCCGUCUCACAAUCUCACAGAUGGUUUCCAAAAAAGUAGUUGCAGACAAAGUUUAUGUGAAAAAUUUAUCAGUUCAGUACAAGGAAAGAUUCUCAACACACGGGUUCUCUUUAUCAAUUAGCUGUUGCAUUUUUUUUUAUUGCAUCGAGUCCGAAGACAAGUUACUCCCUGAAUGAUAGAUUGGGUCACCCACCAUCUUGCAAACCGUUGUAACAUGUUUUUCUUUAUCUUAGACAACUCGAACAUGUUUUCACAUAUAUGUAUACUUAUCUCGUAUUACAUCAACUAGGCAAAGAACCCGUGCGAUAUCGCACGGACACUCAUUUUAUAAAAAUAAUAUUAUAUAAAAUUCAUUUUUAUAAAAUAACUUUUAUAAACAUUUUUUACAAUUACUUUUGAGGAAUACAUAUGUUACAAAAUUUCUCGCAUGCAACUAUGUUUCUUUAUUGAAAAUACUAAAAACUAUAUUUCUUUAUUGGUAAUACUAAAAACUAUGUUUUAUUUAUAGGUUUGGUUGUAAUAAAUUUAUAAACAUGUAAAUACCAAAUAAGAUAUAUGUCUUUUAGUUCAUUUAUUUAAAAAUCUCUAUUUGAAUCUAAUUAAAAAGCAAACACAUUCCAGUCUAAUUUUUUACUAAAUUAGUAAGUUAACUUACAAUGAAAAGUAAAAUAUUCAUGAUUUUUCUUUCGAAACCAUGUCAGACGUGUGCAGUCGAAAACAUUACUAUAUGACAAUUUUAAGAUAUAUUAUCCCUUAACAUAUUCUUCUUAGUAUAUCAUCCAUAUUUUCUGUUUUAUUAGACGUUCUUAAAAAAUCAAACUGGCAUUAAAAACUAAUUAAAAUUCAAUUUAAAAUGAAAAUAGAUUUUAAACCUUCAAUAUAAUUUCGAGUUCUCAGUCAAACUUAUUCAUUAUAUGUAUAUUCUAUAAAUAAAAAUUCCCAAAAAAAUGCAUGCUUACAAAUUAAGAAGCAGAUUUUGGUAUAAUUACAAUGUGUAUACUGAUACACAAAAAAUAUUUAUUUUAUAAGAUUAUGUAUUAUAAGAAAUAUUAAAAAAAUUGUAACGACUUAAAAAUAAAUAAAAAACGAUUCUUAAUUAUUCACAAAUUUUAAAAUCUUUAUAUCUCUUUGUUGACUAAUCUGCUGACAAAAAAAAGACUAAUAUACAGUUCCAAAUUCUUAACUAAUUAAAAUUCAUUUUAAAAUGAAAAUAGAUUUUAAACCUUCAACAUAAUUUUGAGUUCUCAGUUAAACUUAUUCAUUAUAUGUAUAUUCUAUAAAGAAAAAUUCCCAAAAAAAAUGCAUGUUUACAAAUUAAGAAGCAGAUUUUGGUAUAAUUACAAUGUGUAUACUGAUACAUAAAAAAUAUUUAUUUUAUAAGAUUAUAUAUUAUAAGAAAUAUUAAAAAAAUAUUGUAACGACUUAAAAAUAAAUUAAAAUCGAUUCUUAAUAAUUAAAAAAUUUUAAAAUCUUUAUAUCUCUUUGUUGACUAAUUUGCUGACAAAAAAAAGAUUAAUAUACAGUUCCAAAUUCAUUACUUGAACUGUUGAAAACAUUUACUAAAUUACCGCACAUAAUAUCUUUUGGUAGUUCUUAUUUAAAUUUAAUAGUCUGGAAAUUUUGAAAUCAAAUAAAUCAUUUGUAAGCUCUAUCAUGUUUUUCCAAAAGGUGUGACAAAAAAUUUAUAAUGGCUCAAACAUAACUACAAAAUUUUCAGUUUAAUGAUUUACUGAAAUAUGUCAAUAUAUUUAUUUCCAUUAAAUAUUUGAAGAAAGACUUUAAUUAUAAAUGUAUCAAAAUUAUUCAAACUAUUUGUACUAAAAUCAUUGAUUUCAACACUCUCAUUUAUUAAUGACACAUAAAAAAGCCUUAUCUUCAGAUUCAUCGUCAUAUAAGAAGUCACCAAGAUUAAAAUGAAAUGAGUUCAUCAAUGGUGUUGUGGUGAAGUUUUUGAAGAUCUUAGAUUGUAUUAUAAAUCAGGCCGCAACUUUCAUCCGUUAAUAGGCCAUAACUUAUAUCAAAUUUUGUAACUCUAUGAUUCAUAUUUUGGACUGAGGAGUGAAUCUGCAAAAUAAAAACGAAAGCUAAGUUUAUAAAUCAGUGAAACAAUAAACUGAAAACCUUUAUUUACUGGCGGUAAUUUAUUGAAAUUCUUUGAAUGUGGUCUGAGUUAUCAAAGUAGACACUUUUCUUAAAUUAAACUGUUUUUUUUAAGAAAUAAAAUAUUAUUACCAAACCUGUUGUUUAUAAAUAUGAUAGAAAAACAGAUGAACAUAAAUAAGAAGAAUUUUCUGAGUUCACUUCACAAUUAUAAAGAUAAUGAUUAAUUGCAUACCAUGUGUUGCCACACAAUCCAAAGUAGAAGAUGAUUGCAAAUCUCUUAAAAGAAAGAUCAAAAAAUAAUUAAGAUAAAAAAAAAAUUAAUAAUAAUUAAGAUCGUUUUAAAGAAGUAAAGAUGAAGAUGUAAUCUAUCCUAUACUAAAAGGAGCAAAUAAAGCCCUCUUAAGGCCUCCACGUCAGACUGAAAAUUCAGCCAAUCACGUUGCAGCAUUUCCUCCACGUCAGACAAUAGACUCGCGGUUUGGGCUUUUGUGGUCUUUGGUUUUGUAGUUCGAGUUCCAUGCUCUGCACCGAUGAUCGAUUUGUUCUUCACAAACAAACGAUCGAUGGUCAAUUGACUUUCACGAUGUGGAGUGAAACGAAUCGUCAUGGAAAAUCUCUUGAGUUAAAUUUCCAUUGCGUCGUUUUGUAUUUCCUUUAAUUAAUGUAAAUGUCUUCAUCUUCUAUAUUUUCUCUCUCAGACCUUCAAACUCUGCAACAAUGGAUUCCACGGACUCUCAUAUCCUCCCAAUCUCCACUUCCCAAACCGUUCCCUCCGCCGCUCCUUCUUUCGUAGAAUCUCAACCACAUCGUAACCCAUGUGUUCUCGCCUUCAUCAACCGAGUUUCAGAAACUGUCACAAUCGGAUCUUUGUGCUUUUCCUCACUGAUGUUGGAUCUUUUGUCUCGGCUGUUAUGGUCGGAAUCGGUCUUCCUUUUGUUUUUUCUUCAUCGUUUGUUUAUUUUUAAGUUUAAGAGUCAGAAAAUCUCAUUUUGGUUAAUUUUUGCUUGAUUCCUGGAUUGCUGAUAUAAGCUGUGAAUUGAAAUCUAGGGUUAGCUUCCCUGAAAAUAUAUGGAUUCUUUAGAUAGUUUUUUGUUCCUCUAUUGAAGAAUAGCAUGGCUGUAUAUGUUUAUUGACAACAUAUGCUACUGUUUUAGGUUCCCUUUGGUAAAAUUGUCCGAUGUAGGAGUGUUCGGGGAAAGAGUUUGUUUACCUCGUGAAAAAAAAACAAAUGAUCGGUUGACCGGAUGGGUUCUGCAUCGACGGUUCUACACUGGGUGCAUGAGAAUCUGAGCAAGAUAGAUGAAAAGAGUCUCUCUUUCUGCAGCCGGAGAUGGUUGUAUUGCAAAGGUAACUUCCACCAAGGAAGCCCAUUUAUUCAUUCAUAUAGAGAAAAAAAAUUUCAUAGGCUACAUCUUUGACCUUAUGAGUCAAACUGUGUACUUCUCAAUCCUAGAUGAUAGAAAAAUGAAGAACCCGAAGUAGCAAGGAAGGUGCGUAUCCAACUUUUUAGUAACCUUUUUCUUAAAGACAUGAGAUACAUUUUGACAUAGAUUGCAAGAACAGAUGUUGAGCUACAAGAACACUUCAACACUGACUCUGUCUUUACUCUUGCUCAUCAAAAAAUUCCUUCCACUACUCCGAUUCUCUUUAUGUAAGCUAUUUUCUUAGUAUUUUUGAGUUUCUUGCUAAUCGUUAUAAAUAUUAUUGAUUAUCCCAUAUUCUCCCAACAUUGUCAUGUUGCGGUACCACCACUCGGAUUAUUAUUUCCCCUUAACCUGCAAUGCUUUCUAUUUUAUUGUUUAUUUUUACUGAUUUUACUGUGUCUUUGUAUUUGAUUCACAUGUAAUAAGAAAAGAGUUUUGGCUACCUGGCUCAGGGCCUGAUUUCGGUGUGCCGCCUUUCUCCGGUAUCAUUGCUGUUAUCCUUUUAAAGAUUUUAUUAGCUCUUCAAGCUUUGUUAGAAACCAACAUGAUCAAAAUCAACCAACCGUGACCAGGAACCAGUUUUUGGCAUCAGCUUAUUUCAAACCCUGAAACUGCAAAGUUUUCUUUUGUCUUGGACUAAUAUUUUCAUGUAAUGACAGUCUUAGCAAUGUGGAUUGCAGCUGCGCUUUGGGAACUUUAAGUUUGUGUAAAGAUCAAGAAGUUGCUUAACUCUAAGCCAAAGCUAAUCUUAAAUUACACAAGCAAAGCCAAGGCUAUCACUUCUCAUUUAGUCCUCUUUUCAGUUUUCAUAUGUAGUGGUUUCGAAGAGAUCAGUGUAUUCAUCUUCUAAGCUGGGAAAAGACUUAUACAAGCUGAACUAAAGAAGUAUGUUCCUCUUAUAGCUCCAGAGGUUUUGAAUGCUUAAGAUAAGGAUGAAAAGAUCUAUGAAGAUGCA